CGGGGGGCAGCAGUAGGGAAUUUUGCGCAAUGGACGAAAGUCUGACGCAGCAACACCGUGUGAGGGAUGAAGCAUUUCGGUGUGUAAACCUCUGUCGAUGAUGAAUAAAGCGUGUGGGAGUGGAAAGCCCACGCGUUGAAGGUAGUCAUGAAGGAAGCACCGGCUAACUCUGUGCCAGCAGCCGCGGUAAUACAGGGGGUGCAAGCGUUGUUCGGAAUCACUGGGCGUAAAGGGAGCGUAGGCGGAACUACAAGACAGAGGUUAAAGACCCGGGCUCAACCUGGAGACUGCCUUUGUGACUGUGGUUCUUGAGUAUGGUAGAGGUCAGCGGAAUUUCCGGUGUAGCGGUGGAAUGCGUAGAGAUCGGAAAGAACACCAGAGGCGAAGGCGGCUGACUGGACCAAUACUGACGCUGAGGCUCGAAAGCGUGGGGAGCAAACAGGAUUAGAUACCCCGGU
rnacentral:rRNA from 1 species